ACGUAGGGGGCAAGCGUUAUCCGGAAUUAUUGGGCGUAAAGAGUGCGUAGGUGGUUUUUUAAGCGUGAGGUGAAAGGCAAUAGCUUAACUAUUGUAAGCCUUGCGAACUGGAGGACUUGAGUGCAGGAGAGGAAAGUGGAAUUCCUAGUGUAGCGGUGAAAUGCGUAGAUAUUAGGUAGAACACCAGUGGCGAAGGCAGCUUUCUGGACUGUAUCUGACGCUGAAGCACGAAAGUGUGGGUAGCAAACAG
rnacentral:rRNA from 1 species